CGAGCAGUGCAAACGGUCGCUGCUGCCCAUUCUGACAUUGCCAUAUACAGCGUUGUCUGAUAAGACAUUUUCGAAAUGGCGGUGUCAGGAUAGGCAGGAGAGGAAAGUCCGGGCUUCACAGGGCAGGAUGCCUGAUAACGUCAGGUGGGAGUGAUCCUAAGGAAAGUGCAACAGAAAGUAUACCGCCCUGCGGCUUGCCGCAGAGUAAGGGUGAAAUGGCAGUGUAAGAGACUACCGGCCGCCCGGUAACGGGUGGCGCAUUGUAAACCCCAUCCGAAGCAAGUCCAUGAAGAAGCGAUAUGGCGGCCCGUCAUGCUUCGGGUAGGACGCUUGAGGCAUAUGGUGACAUAUGUCCUAGAUGGAUGACCGUUCUCGACAUAACCCGGCUUACAGCGCUGCUCACUCU
rnacentral:RNase_P_RNA from 1 species